CAAAUUAGAGCUUGAUAAAGUUUUUUAUUUACAUUAAAAAGAUAAUUAUUUAAUUAAUUUAAUUUGA
rnacentral:tRNA from 1 species